rnacentral:rRNA from 1 species
AAUCAACGCUGGCGGCGUGCCUCAGACAUGCAAGUCGAACGCGAAAACUUCCUUCGGGAGGUGAGUAGAGUGGCGCACGGGUGAGUAACACGUAGGUAAUCUGCCUUUGGGUGGGGAAUAACAGCCGGAAACGGCUGCUAAUACCGCAUAAUGCAGCGGCAUCACAUGAUGACAGUUGUUAAAGGCGGGGGAUUCAGCAAUGAACCUCGCGCCUGAAGAGGAGCCUGCGGCAGAUUAGCUAGUUGGUGAGGUAACUGCUCACCAAGGCUUCGAUCUGUAGCCGG